CUAUGCGCCUUGCCAGCCCGCUCAGUCAGAGUUUGAUCCUGGCUCAGGACGAACGCUGGCGGCGUGCUUAACACAUGCAAGUCGAGCGGAAAGGCCCCUUCGGGGGUACUCGAGCGGCGAACGGGUGAGUAACACGUGAGCAACCUGCCCCCGACUCUGGGAUAAGCCCGGGAAACUGGGUCUAAUACCGGAUGUGACCAUCUGCGGCAUCGCAUGAUGGUGGAAAGUUUUUCGGUUGGGGAUGGGCUCGCGGCCUAUCAGCUUGUUGUGGGUAAUGGCCUACCAAGGCGACGACGGGUAACCGGCCUGAGAGGGCGACCGGUCACACUGGGACUGAGACACGGCCCAG
rnacentral:rRNA from 1 species